UUAACUCAAAAUUGAAUCGAUUUGGAACAUUUGCCUACGUUUGCCGCUAGGGGCGCUGUCCAACUGCAUACAAAUUUGAGUUA
rnacentral:pre_miRNA from 1 species